rnacentral:rRNA from 1 species
CCUACGAGUGGCAGCAGUGAGGAAUAUUGGUCCAUGGGCGCGAGCCUGAACCAGCCAAGUAGCGUGAAGGAUGACUGCCCUACGGGUUGUAAACUUCUUUUAUAAAGGAAUAAUGUGAUGCACGUGUGCCUUUUUGUCUGUACUUUAAGAAUAAGGAUCGGCUAACUCCGUGCCAGCAGCCGCGGUAAUUCGGAAGAUGCGAGCGUUAUCCGGAUUUAUUGGGGUUAAAGGGAUCGUAGAUGGGUAGAUCAGUCAGUUGUGAAAGUUUGCGGCUCAAACGUAAGAUUGCAAUUGAUACUGGCAGUCUUGAGUACAGUUGAGGUAGGCGGAAUUCGUGGUGUAGCGGUGAAAUGCUUAGAUAUCACGCAGAACUCCGAUUGCGAAGGCAGCUUACU